UGAAGGUCCUUGCACAAUGUCGACGGCUUCAAUAAACGGCUGGUGCAUAACCUCCCUCUCUCCAUCAUCCCAUUCUUCUCUCAACAACAAUAAUAUUAAGAAAAUAAUAUCACAUAACACAUUACGUCGUCCCUCCAUUGUAGCCAGGCUUUCCUCUCCUCCUCCCUCCCUCAUUCAAAACAAGCCUGUUUUUGCUGCUCCUGCUCCCAUCAUCAACCCUCCUUUGAGAGAAGACAUGGCGAAGGAUUACGAUGAGGCCAUUGAAGCUCUCAAGAAACUUCUCAGCGAGAAGGGAGAGCUGAAAGCAGCUGCAGCUGCCAAAGUAGAGCAGAUAACAGCACAACUACAAACAGCCACAACUGAUGGAAAGGUGUUUGACCCGGUUCAGAGGAUCAAAGAAGGCUUUAUUCACUUCAAGAAGGAGAAAUAUGAAAAGAAUCCAGCUUUGUAUGGUGAACUCGCCAAGGGCCAAAGCCCCAAGUUUAUGUUGUUUGCGUGCUCCGAUUCUCGGGUUUGCCCAUCUCAUGUGCUAGAUAUGCAGCCAGGAGAGGCUUUUGUGGUCAGGAAUGUUGCAAAUAUGGUCCCAGCAUAUGACAAGAUCAAACACACUGGGGUUGGGUCUGCCAUUGAAUAUGCGGUUUUGCAUCUCAAGGUGGCGUACAUUGUGGUUAUUGGACACAGCGCCUGCGGUGGGAUCAAGGGGCUCAUGUCUUUCCAAUGUGAUGGAUCCUCCAAUACCGACUUCAUUGAAGAUUGGGUGAAAACCUGUUUACCAGCCAAGAAAAAGUUGUUAGAGGCAAAUGGAAAUGUACCUGCAGAACAACUAUGUGCAAAAUGUGAAAAGGAGGCAGUAAAUGUAUCCCUUGCAAACUUGCUUACUUAUCCAUUUGUGAGAGAUGGUUUGCUGAAGAAAACGCUGGCUUUGAAGGGUGGUUACUAUGAUUUUAUCAAUGGAACUUUUGAGCUCUGGGGUCUUGAGUUUGGUCUUGCUCCCCCGCUCUCUGUAUGAACAUCUACCAUAACUGGUGACCACAUCUUUUCUGCGUAACUAUUUUCUUCCCCCAUCUUGUGAAAGAUGUGGCUACAAUACUGCAUUGGAAGCUCUAGACCUGCUUAGAGGGUCAUCCUUCAUAGAUGAGGCUCUCUCUACUUCAUUGUAUAUGAUAAUAUGAUGUUGGUUCUGUAGAAAGUUACCUUAUUAAAAUUGGGAUUCCUGAAACUGACCUGUUGCUGCUUAACCAAGUUCUUCCAUAUCUUUCUAUCUUCAA